GCGUUGUAGGCGGGCUUCCGUUCAUUUCCUAUGAGAGUUGCUCAGUGGCGCAUGAAGCCAAAAUGGCUCGACUGCCGAGUGAUAAAGUACCCGGAUCUUUCGGCAAUCUUACGCAUCCAUUGAGCCCAUAGAGCAGGCGCAGUAGCGUCCGCUUGGUAACAUGGUUCGGGA